UACGUAGGUGGCAAGCGUUGUCCGGAUUUACUGGGCGUAAAGAGCGCGCAGGCGGUCGUUCAAGUCGCGUGUGAAAGCCCCCGGCUCAACUGGGGAGGGUCACGCGAUACUGAUCGACUCGAAGGCAGGAGAGGGUAGUGGAAUUCCCGGUGUAGUGGUGAAAUGCGUAGAUAUCGGAAGGAACAUCAGUGGCGAAAGCGACUUCCUGGACCAGUACCGACGUUCAGGCACGAAAGCGUGGGGAGC
rnacentral:rRNA from 1 species